UUUAUAUUACACAAAAUUCCCUACGGUAUACAGAACGUAUUACAUUAAACAAACUAACGUUUUCACCACACAUGAGUUACAGGAAAUACACAUCCUUUUACCUCAAAUAAGUGACCAGUGUGUUUAGGGAUUAAUUGUUAUGUCAUUUCUUCCAUAUAACGACUUAUUUCAGCAUAAUGACCAUGAAUUUGGACAUCUAAAACCGGUAUUUUGAAACUGGGCUAUAAAUCAAAAAUCCAUAACAUCAGGGAGCAGAAACAGUAUCAUUUUAAUGUAUGUUUUAGGAAUAUAAAUGAUCAUUUUAAUAUUAUUUUUCAACAUGAAUCUACUUAAUUUGGUAAAACUACUGAAUGAGUCCAAAAACCGUGCUACAAUGUAUUGAUUUGGAUUAUAUAAGUGAAAUCGUGAAAAUAAGUUUGUCCUAGUGCAUAAUCAGUCAUAGGCCACGAAUCGAGGCAUGAAAAUGAUGAAUAGCAACUCACCUGCUGCUGUUUAAUAUCGAACUUUAUCACGCUGCCAAGAUCAGACAGGCCAUACGAAACCGUCACAGGGUUUAGAUGUAUUUUUAAUGCAAUGACUGUCGGUUGGAUGAGUUGGACGUCAAAAACAGCAAAUUAUCGGUGUCCUUUACCAGAAAUUGUACUGACAUGAUUUCUAGUAAAGUGAAAGCAAAACCAAAGACAGAAUAGAAAGGUUUAGUGCUGUUCGGGAUCCUUGGGACGUCCACAUUCUAAACCCUAACCCCUACCUUAACCAUAACCCUUACCUUAACAUUGAUCUGUAAAAAGAAGUAUCAUAACCAUUUCAAAUGUAAACUUUAAUGGUGUAACGUCAGCGUUUGGACGUCCCAAGCAUCCCGAAUAGCAAUGAUAAUACAGGAACUGCUUAUCCAGUACUUCACACUUGUAGGCACUGGGUGCGUUUGAGUGGUAAACCGAAAGUAGCCGGAAAUCGAUGAAGGCGAUGGGGAGACACAUUAUGGACAAGCUCCUGUACAGAUUGCAGCGGGCAUGCAACGCCUUCCUCUUGAUCUUGAUUUACUUACAGUUUGUCUGCACCAUUGAGAUGAUAUUUAUCAGCUCACUAUCAAAUCAAGUACACUUGCCUCAAGAGGUGUGCAGGGUCUCUCCAAUCUGUAUAGUCUAGUCAAUGCUGAAAUGGAAGAAGGAAAUGCCCCAUCAGUUGUUGCUGGCGAAAUGAGACGUCUUAAACUGACUUUCAGAACAGCACCUUCGACAGCUGAUUGAAAUGGAUCUGCCUGUACCUUGCAUCGCCAAACUGCUUGUCACCUCAGCACAAACUGACCAACACAGAAUGCAGGAAUACAGUAUUGUGGUGAGGAGAACAUGCAGCCAAAUGAUAGACGAGGAGCUGGACAAUCUGGUGGCCACAAUCAAGACAAGUUCACCACAAUUAGGAUGGUGUGAGAACUUCUGAAAGCAAUGGGUCAUCAAGUCCAGUGGACCCGAGUGUGGGACUCAGUGCUUCGUGUAGAUGCUGCAGGAAUACAGGAAAGAGUGGCAGGACUUGGAUGUGUUGUCAGAAGAACAUACUCUGUUCAGGCUCCUCUUUCCGUCAUACACGUGGACACCAACGACAAGAUGAUCAGGUAAGCUUAAACUCCAUUCAGUUCAGGGGGGUCUCAUAGGUCUCAGAGGCCAUACAAUGCUGCCUCUGUUAUAUUUUACUGCAAGAUGGCAGUAAAAUAGUAUACAAAACUGUCCAAAAAUGUCUUUCAACAGAUAUGGUUUUGUAAUAUUUGGUGGCAUAGACGGCUUCUCAAGAAAGGUAACCUAUUAAUCUCCCAUGGUAUUUUGAAGUUCGUAAUGCUUGUCUGACUCAAUGUGGAUAAUCCAGUGCCUUGUACAAUUCAAACGAAUUGUUUAUAUAACAGCCCAGCUGUUUUUGUAUGUGUUAUUUUUUUAUCACACACUCAGUUUCAUAAUGAUAUCUUAUAGAUCAUGUACCUCGGUGCAGCAACCAACAACAAAGCAUCAACCGCCCUUGGAUUCUUGACUGGACUCUGUAGCGAAGCAAGGCUUUCCAUUGAGGUAACAGCAUCAUUCCCUCUAGUGUUGUGUGGAAUCAGGCAUUUGUUUGUAAAUUGACACCGUUGGUUACUUUGUAUAUGGCCUCGAAUCAGACCAUAUGCCUGGUCUGCCUGAGGCCUUGUCUAUCAAGACAAAUAUAUUGAUGUUGAACAAGUUUCAUACACCACAUAGAGGUGAGUGAUUGAAUUAUGAUGAACGGUUGUCUUGAUUAUAAUGCUAGUGUUUGUAUAUCACCAUCUAGGUGAGAGCAGACCAAGGCAUGGAGAAUGUGGACAUCGCAACAUGCAUGUUUCAUGUCUGAGGUUGUGGCAGGGGAAGCUUUAUCUCUGGUAAAAGUGUUCACGAUCAACAGUCAUUUCCACCACUAUUUGUUUGUGCUGAAUACAUAGAUUAUGACCACAUAUUAUUGAAAUUUGAUCUGGUCUAUACAUUCUAGAGUAUAGUUAGGCAGGUGGCCUACACCUAAAUUAUAACCCCUGCACUGAGUAGAGAUAACAAGCUGUGCUGUUUCAUGUAUAACUGGUAUUUCAAUGCUUUGCAAAGGAGUGCCUUAUACAGACAAGGAGUGCCUUAUACAGACAAGGAGUGCCUUAUAGACCACGUUUCCUUUCAGUUUUUUGGCAAGUUAAGUCAUACCGUAUAAAAAAAGAUAUACAAUGACAGUUUUAUUGGAAACAGGAAGUGUCGGUAAAAUCUGAUAAAUGCCGACAGAUCAUUUGUUCGUUGGACAUGGUGCGAUCUUUAAAAACUAAUUGUGUGAGAAUUGUUGGUGGAAACGCCUUUAAGCGCAAAUAAUUAUAUAAUAACCAUCAUAUUUAAGUAAAUUUAGUCACGAGAUGAAACAGUAUGUUGUGUGGUCCUCCCACUAUGCCUCGGGAAACCAUGCAGUUCAUUAGGCUACAGAUUAAAUAAAUUAUGAACUUCACAGGGUGGUGAAAGUGCACAGUGAUCUUGAUGCUCCUUUCCACUAGAUAUUUAGGGUCUUAUUCUGGUGACAUGAUGAUCGAUACUUGGCUGCCAAUUGACAAAUGAUUCUUGUUCUUAUCAAUAACAAUCUCAUCAUGUAGACUAGCCUACAUUGCGUGAAGCUGUUGUAUCAGCAAACUGUUGUCUAGAGCGCAGGUACCAAGACCAGAGUGGGCGCGUUUGCUAUUUAACCCAAACAUUUGUGACAACUAUCCGUAGAGUUGAAAAUGAAAUGGAUUUUGUGUACACUAUGUCAUCACACACUGAUUUUGGAUCUUCAACAAGUCUGUUUGGUAGAAAACACCACUAUUAGGAAAAUGUGCAUAUUAUCUUUACCCAGACUUCAGAAUAUUCGCAUAAAAAAAUCUGUAGCCAAUUGGAUGGAAACGUAGCUAUGGAAACCUAGCUAUAGAAUCCAAUGUCAAUUCAAUCUCUCACAUGCAUUGAAGAAAACAGUUCAAUUCAA
rnacentral:lncRNA from 1 species